rnacentral:rRNA from 1 species
UCAGAUUGAACGCUGGCGGCGUGCCUAACACAUGCAAGUCGAGCGGUAACAGGUGUAGCAAUACAUGCUGACGAGCGGCGAACGGGUGAGUAAUGCUUUGGAAUCUUCCCAGUAGUGGGGAAUAACCAGUCGAAAGAUUGGCUAAUACCGCAUACGUCCGCAAGGGGAAAGCAGGGGACCGUAAGGCCUUGCGCUAUUGGAUGAGCCAAAGUCGGAUUAGCUAGUUGGUAGGGUAAUGGCCUACCAAGGCGACGAUCCGUAGCUGGUCUGAGAGGACGACCAGCCACACCGGAACUGAGACACGGUCCGGACUCCUACGGGAGGCAGCAGUGGGGAAUAUUGGACAAUGGGGGAAACCCUGAUCCAGCGACGCCGCGUGUGUGAAGAAGGCCUGCGGGUUGUAAAGCACUUUUAGUGGGGACAAAAAGCUACGGACUAAUACUCUGUGGUCUUGAUUUAACCUACAGAAAAAGCACCGGCUAACUCUGUG